GAUUGCAGGCUGAAACCCGCCUGUAUGAAGUUGGAAUCGCUAGUAAUCGCGGAUCAGCAUGCCGCGGUGAAUACGUUCCCGGGCCUUGUACACACCGCCCGUCACACCAUGAGAGUCGGGAACACCCAAAGUCCGUAGUCUAACCGCAAGGAGGACGCGGCCUAAGGUGGGUUCGAUAAUUGGGGUGAAGUCGUAACAAGGUAGC
rnacentral:rRNA from 1 species